GACGAACGCUGGCGGCGUGCUUAACACAUGCAAGUCGAACGAAGAGCGAUGGAAGCUUGCUUCUAUCAAUCUUAGUGGCGAACGGGUGAGUAACGCGUAAUCAACCUUCCCUUCAGAGGGGGACAACAGUUGGAAACGACUGCUAAUACCGCAUACGAUCCAAUCUCGGCAUCGAGGAUGGAUGAAAGGUGGCCUCUAUUUAUAAGCUAUCACUGAAGUAGGGGAUUGCGUCUGAUUAGCUAGGUGGAGGGGUAACGGCCCACCAAGGCGAUGAUCAGUAGGCGGUCUGAGAGGAUGAACGGCCACAUUGGGACUGAGACACGGCCCAGACUCCUACGGGAGGCAGCAGUGGGGAAUCUUCCGCAAUGGACGAAAGUCUGACGGAGCAACGCCGCGUGAGGGAUGACGGCCUUCGGGUUGUAAAGCUCUGUUAAUCGGGACGAAAGGUCCUCUGGCGAAUAGUUAGAGGAAUUGACGGUACCGGAAUAGAAAGCCACGGCUAACUACGUG
rnacentral:rRNA from 1 species